GCUGACCUGCACAGAGCUGCCAUCUGACCACAUGGCAACACUUCCCUCCAUCUGUCCUUUGUCUCUGUACCUCUCUGCUUCGCCCCCUGGCUGUUUUUCUCUGUGUCCUGCCAUCCGUCUUCACAUGGACCCCAGUGAUCCUGAGACAAGUUAGUAGAGCCUCCUCCAGUUCCAGGCACCUGCAGGCUCGUGCCUGGGAGUUAUAUCUGUGUGAACACAGCUGUGGAGAGGAAAGAAUAAAGUUUAGGGAUGAGGGAAGUCCACUAUGCCGAGCAGAGCGCUUCCCUUGUGGUUGGAACCAGUGGUGUUUGCAGUUUCCGUUUCUGGGGGGGAAAGGGAAGGACUAGAUUUUUCACACUGGGAUCUUGACACGGGAGAGGGGCCAAUCCCUAGGAGGCACGGUUGGGUCUGUGUGUGCCAGUGAGGAGAGAGCAGAAGGACCGGGCUCAUGGCUGCAGUUGGCCCUGGAGCACCUUGCUAUGUACCCUUCUUUCGGGACUCACCACAAAACCCACCCAGAACUCUGCCAAGAGGCCCCAUAAGCAGCUUCCUGCAGAAAGGGUAAGCUUCUGGCUCACCUUGCGACAGAGGUAACGCCCAUCCAGAGGCUGCAGAAGAUUCGGCUGUGUGCUUCGUGAAGGACGCUCCACAGCGUGAAAGCAAGUAAGCCAUUCUAGAUGAUUCUUACCUGAUCUGAAAAGUGUUUGAGGUCUGAAGAGUCUUCAGGCCCAGUGCCCUGAAGGUUCCUGGAGUGGAGAAUGAAGCCUGAUCACCUCCAUGCAAGGGAGGGAGUGGAAUGUUCCUUCUGGAGAAGCUCGGAGGCCUGAGGCUAGUGAGGAGCCCUUCCCACGCUCCGUGGCUGUCCGCCCAGCUUGGGCUCCGGGGCACGCAAGCCCCUUACCCGGAGGCCGGCAGUCUCACCGCAGGCGCCAACCGCCACCCACACGACUGCCUGGACGCGUCUCCCUAGUCAGGAGCCUGCGAAUACCUUCGGUGGGCUUCCCUGUGAGCCCGGCCGUGUCGACCUGUGGACAGGGAAGGUCAGUGGUCCUGCGGGCAUCUAACCAGAAGGCGUGCAGGUGGGCAGGUGGGCAGGUGGGCAGACGACUCGGCGCCUUUGCCUCUAUCUCGCGCUGUCCUCGCUGAGCACUCACUGCCUCCUUCCUCUGGGUCUGGCCUCAGGGACUCCCCCAACAUGAGGAUGGGUGGUCUGGUCCGUGAGCAGAGGAAUAGAUGUGUACACAACCACACACACCCUCACACCCUCACACACCACACACACCCUCACACACACACCACACACACACACUCACACCCUACACACUCACCACACACACACCACACAUACCCUCACACACCCACACCCACUCACACCUACCCACACACUACACCCUCAUACCCACUCACACCCCACACACCCACACCCUCACACACCACACACACACCCUCACACUCACUCACACCCUACACAGACACCACACACACAUACACUCAUACCCACACACCCUCUCACACACACACACACACACACACACACACACACCAAACAACAAUCUAAAAACAUACCCGAGAACAGGUACUUAAAUCCUUCACUUCGUACACAUGCCCCCUUAGGGAAGGCAAAAGACUGGGUGGGGCCCCUACAGACAUGAGGCAAAGGACUAGAAACAGAACAUUUCCUUUGAAAGAAUGGUAAUGGAAUGAAGUUAGGAGUCUCAAAGUACCUAAGUUUGCAUCAUAAAAACUGAGGAAGGUGAGGGGUAAAGAGGGAAAUAGGAACGUGGUCACAUAUACAUACAAACUGCGGGUGUUUGAAGACAGACCAUCACAGGGUUAGAAUAAUGACAGCAUCCAACCCAGGAUCCGUCCAAUUGUGCACCAAGGGAACGUAUUUAUGCUUUCCACAAAAAUUAAUGAACAGACUUUUAAAAUCAUGUCCCAAAUUUCUCAUUUUUUGGCUCUAAUGACCCGCUUUGUAUUUCUUGAAUUUCAUUUCUAAAUCCCACAUUAAGCCAGUUCCUAAGACUUUAGGCUAUCCCCUUCACCUCCAUCCCCCCAAUGUAGCCUUAGCCAAGGAUAAGCGGCCCAGCCCACCUCUGGUCCAAGAGAUGUCAACCCCGGAAAAUGGUUCAUCUACGCAACAGAGUACGGAACUUUUGUAAGUCAACAAAAAGGCCUAAGUGUGCUGAAUCAGCUUAACAAAUCUAACCUGUUGACCAGUGACCAGGAAGAACCAGGAUGUCAGAGUCUUCUAGAGGUAAUGGCUUUCUGGGGCAAUGACUCUUGAGCUUUCAUAGUUUCUGAACCACUUGAGCAUAACAGAAGAUUCCCAAAAACAUUUAUCCCAUUUGAUACCACUCAGCACUAGAGAGCAUUUAAAAAAUAAUCAUUAUAGGCUACAUUCAAAUGAAUGGAAACUUAGAAAAUAUACUAUGAAGAGUAUAUCAGAACUAGAAGGGAUCAGGGAAUAUCUAAUUGACUUUACAGUGUAGAAAGUUGAGGCCCAGGGAAAUCAAGUGAGUUGCUCAAGGUCAUGCAGUCGUUAAUGUCCUCGCUGGGACCUAGCUAGGGACUGUUAGUCUAAUGCUUUUUCCACUGCACUGGCUGCCUCUCAGUGCAAUGAUGCCUCAGAGAAGACCCAUCAAAGAAUACGGGCUGUAACUGGAGACAUAGUCUUAGGUAAAUGUCAAUAGGACUUGGACACAGCCCCGGGGAACCAUUUGACUGUGGUAACACAAACCAUCCUUUUGAAACCAUCAUUCCCUGGGUAGAACUAGCUGUGGACUAUCAAGUCUGUCCAAAAAAAAAGGUGAACCAGUGAACAGUUUUCAUUCAGCCAAAUGGUACCUCUUCCUCAUGAAGAGAGAGCUAAAACACUUCCAAGCAUACUUCUAGGAUCCCUUUGAUCCUUGCUACAACCUAGGAUGGUAGGGGGUCAAGUGAUUAAGUCCUUAAUUCACAGGGAAAACAGGUGGCAAGAAGCUCAGUGACUUAUCCAAGCUCACAUGGCAAGUUAGCAGCAGAAGCAUUAUUGCAAUCCAGGGUUUACACACCUUGUCCUGAGAUGUUUCUCCUCCGAGUCACGUUGCACUACUCUGGGGCUGGCCUCUAUUUUUAAUACUUGGAUUUCCAGGGUGGUGAUUAGGGGGAGGAAGCAUUCCAUUCGGAACCACCAUGAACCAGGACCUCCAGAAGCAGCCUCUGUACUAUUUUGCCUUCAUCCCCUAUUCUCUUCAUGUGUCGAGUUCAGGACAACCUGCACAGAAGCCAGUUUGAAAGACUGGAUAUUCUCAAUGACACUUGAACACAUUAACCCACAAUCACACAGGAGUUUCAGGUCAGCAAGUAGAAAAGUGAAACUAAGAGAAACAAAGAAUUUGAAUGGAAAUUAAAGUGGACGGUUAAUGCCGAUCUCCGAUUAACAAGUCACUCUGUGGAUGUGCUGAGGAGCUUGCAAGUUACAAUUUCUGCAGUUCAGGAUCAUGUCACUUAUCAGAAUAUAGUAGGAAAGGUGUACACUGAAACACGUGCCUAGAGUUUUUCGUCAUUUUCUUAACUUUGCAGAGGUAGUGGUUGAACUUGAGCUAAACUUAGAUUCUGAGGUUAUUGAUGAAGUCUGGCGGUCCAGGCUCCCUCUCUACAAUCAUCAGGUAACUACAAGGCAGAAAGAUCCCAAUGCUGUUAAUCUAAGACAAUGUUAGUUUCCCUUCUAAACUAGUUGGCAUGGUAACCAUGACAAAUGGGAACCUGAAAGACUUUCAUUCUCCCUGAUUUCCUUAUGAAAUCUCAUCAUUUGCAAAGCUUUAAAGUGACUGGAUGAAGGAAAAGCAUUUUUAUGACCCAUGACCCUUGGAGCCCAAAUAGCAUCAUGAAAAGAAAGUGGCUAUCAGGAAAAGAAAGAGUUUUAAAGGGGUUCUUUUUGAGUCUUGUUUUCUAUUCAGAAUGUUCUAUGUUUUUCUCAUCAAGUGUGGGAAUGACAUUUAUCUUAGCAGGUUAUUUAACUACACUGGAUGAUGUCACUCUGAACCAGUGUAUGACACUGACCCAAGUCCUGGGGGGCUCCUUGGACCAAUAGACUAUUUUACAAACCUGGGAGGUGGGAGGGAUGGUAUAUUUUUGAUAACCAGACAUUCCAAUGUAAUGUUUUCCUUAGAGGUCACCCCCCUCCGUUAAUGUUAUCGUGAAAAACAUCAAGUGUGUUCUUUUCUAUUUUCAUAUAAUAAGUGGGCUUUGCUUACCAACAUCUCAAUGGCAAAGA
rnacentral:lncRNA from 1 species